rnacentral:rRNA from 1 species
GACGAACGCUGGCGGCGUGCCUAACACAUGCAAGUCGAACGGAGCACUUCGGUGCUUAGUGGCGAACGGGUGAGUAACGCGUGAGAAACCUGCCUUUCAGUGGGGGACAACAGUGGGAAACUACUGCUAAUACCGCAUAAUGUUAUUUGGGGGCAUCCCCGAAUAACCAAAGAUUUAUUGCUGAAAGAUGGUCUCGCGUCUGAUUAGCUAGUUGGUGAGGUAACGGCUCACCAAGGCGACGAUCAGUAGCCGGUCUGAGAGGAUGAACGGCCACAUUGGGACUGAGAUACGGCCCAGACUCCCACGGGAGGCAGCAGUGGGGAAUAUUGGGCAAUGGGCGAAAGCCUGACCCAGCAACGCCGCGUGAAGGAAGAAGGCCUUCGGGUUGUAAACUUCUUUUACCAGGGACGAACAAAUGACGGUACCUGGAGAAAAAGCAACGGCUAACUACGUGCCAGCAGCCGCAGUAACAC